ensembl:lncRNA
UAGCCUGCAGGUAUUAAACAUGUUUGGUAAGGUAUUAAACAUGUUGGGUAAGGUAUUAAACAUGUUUGGUAAGGUAUUAAACAUGUUGGGUAAGGUAUUAAACAUGUUUAGUAAGGUAUUAAACAUGUUUGGUAAGGUAUUAAAAAAUGUUUGAAUAGAUGUUGACUCCAGCCUCACCAAAUAGUAGCCAAAUGCAAUCAUUUAUAUAUAAAUGCUUAUUAUAAAUCAAUACAAUUAAUUAUGGUAGGCUAUCAUUUGUACUUUAAAAAAAUUAUAUUUCUUAACAUUUUUAUCUUUUAUUGUUUUACACAGCACUUUGUCUGUAUUUUUCCUUUAGACAAUCGAUUUGCUUGUAUUUGUGUAAAGCACACUGAGGUGCUAUAUAAAUAAACGUGUCUUGCCUCGCCUUGCCUAUCCCCACAUAGGAAUCCCCUCGUGGAGGCCAAAGGCAGUGGAAAAAUGAAUUGAUAUUUGGUGUAAGUGUAUCAAUAAUGUAUCGCCAAUGAUAUGAUACAUUGCCAUCUUGAUCAUUUGACCCACCCUUAUUCCAAUGUUGGUUAGGUUUGGUGCAGUGGUUCUAUCCCAAACAUGACAACGUGCCUUGGCUGAUAUCGGCUCUAACUCUCCUGCAGAGAAUACGUGAGCAUGAGCACAGCUUGCCUUUUCUACUUCAGUAUCGUUGGAUCUAGUAGAGUGAAUCAAAGCUACCUGACAUUUCUGCCAUAUAGCUGUUAUGAACUGUUCCUCAUUCUACAAAACUGACAUUUUUGAAAAAACAUGUUUUUGUCUUACAUAAAUGUGCAGGUUCUCUAGAUCACAGAAGAAAGAACAAUAACCAGCUUGCAUGAUUGUUUAUAUUAAUAUGUAGUUGUCAUGGGCCUCAAAAAUCACCUUAAUCCCAUCAUUUACCAUUUUUUCCUGUGUUGAUAUCAUGAUUGUUUUGUGCUUUUGGUUGCAUUUUGGAAUUCCUAGACACAAUCAGAUAAUUUGUGUAUUAUCAAAUUAGGUAGAUAUACAGAUUGUAUAGGAGAGAGAGAGAGAGAGAAAGAGAGAGAAAGAGAGAGAGAGAGAUUAAAGAUGCAGUCCAUGAUUCUGAAGAAAGGUUUUUGAUAACAGCCAAUCGAAUGACACCCCUCCCUUCCAUGGUUGUGAUGCAACGUGUUGAUUGGCUGGAAUAGUUUAUGGCUUGGUCGAGGAAUGUUGAAAUGAAUCAUUUUACGAUUAAACCCCACCCUCUGCAU